CAAACCGCGACCGAAAUGAAGCGCGACCGAAACGAAGCGCGACCGAAAUUAUCUGUAUUCGUUUUUUGCACGAAACCACCCCAAGUAUUUCGCUGUUUUUACAAAAACUAUAUUGCCGACAUAUAAACAUUUAUGGAAAAACAUAAAAAUGUUUUAUCAACACUCUGUAGAGUGUGUGGCACGAAACUUAACAAAGAUGGUGGAAGGAGUAAAGAUGUGAACAAAUACCGUACUGGCUACAACUUGGUGUUAGCAGAGACAGUGAUUUAAACAGAUAUCCUCAAUCAUUCUGUAAUCUCUGCUACAUUAAGCUUGUAGUCCAGAAAAAAGAUGUUCAACUGAAGGAAUGGCCUGCGCAUAGGCGAGUCGGAACGUGAGAGGUUUGCAAUGACACAUUUAAAAAAGGUGGGCAGCCAAAAAAAAUGAACAGAGGUUUAGGAGCACCAGAGUGCAAGAGAAGGAUGGCACAUACAUCAUCAGUUGCCACACAUUUCUCCUCAAUUGAUACCAUGCUUAUAAACAUUCCAGAUUCCUACACCAUCAUUGGUUCUUUGAGUCCAUUCAUGUGUUGUGUUUGUAAUGUAGUGUGUGUAUGUCCUGUUGAGUUACUGUGUCACCAUGUUGCUUGCAAAGCGUGUGUUCAGUCAUUUUUUGUAGAUAAUGAUGUAAUGUCGUGUCCGUCUUGUUCAGUUGAAUCACAUUACAAGUCUGUCACUGCUGUACCUGAUCUGUACAAUGUUACAUGUCAGUUAUUGUAAAAUGUAAUACAUGUCAAUGUCAGUUGCAAUGUCAAAAUUGUAACACACAUGUACAGUAUGUGUCUUACAACAAGAACACACUUAUGCUAAACAACAUACCAACGAUUCCUUUCAAGCCAUCCUUCAACAGCCUCUGGAUGCUUCUAUCACAAGUGAGAUGGAAAAUUUAGGUCACCAUCUCAUGCAACAAAAAUCGAGGAAAUCAAAAGAUGGGGUGGUGACAUUUAUAUCAGGGGGAAAGACAAUCAAAUAUUUUAAAAUUCCAAAUGUGAGAGUAGAAUCAGAUGCAACAUCAAAAAAAAAAAAAGACAAAAGAACAAAUCAAGUCAAGAAAUUCCGUUCGAUGAUUAGCGGAUCCGAAGAAGCAACCAAUGAGCAAUAUCGCCAUGAAAUUUCGGGUCUGCAAGGCGAACUAAAGGACAUACUUCGUACCCCCUUUCGGAUGCCACAUGGUAACAUCAUGUCCAUGAAGGCACAUUUGGGUCUGAGUGGAACAAGAACGAGAGUAUUGAAAAGAUGGUUAGCAAAAUAUCAGAUACAAUGUGAGAGUGAGGCCAGCAUCCACAGACAGGAGAGCCGAGUAAUCAAUGACAACUUGCUAAAAGAAUAUCUCCCCCUUUUGGUAAAGGACGAGAAAACAGAAGAAAUGCUAUUGACUAAUGUCCCACUUGUAGUUGUUAAAAAUUUGGCAGAAAAAGUUCGGGAAAUGCUAGACCAACUAGACAGCCUUGAUUUACUCACCUGGCAUAAUGGAUUAAUUCCAGAUAACCAAAUAUGGCUAAAGCUAGGUGGAGACAAAGGUGGAGGGACAUUCAAAUGAUCCAGAGUGGAAAUGUUGAGCAUCCGAACUCUUUGCAGAAUACAGUCACUAUAUUAAUUUGGGAGGCGGGUGACUGCACAUACAAUUUGAAAACCGGUAUGGCGAGGAUAAAGCAGCAGGCAGAAGACCUCAAAUCGAUGAUGUGGAAGCUAGAAAACUCGGAGACAUUCUACUGUUAUAGUUGUGGCAGAGUAACGCUUCUCUCCGACACGACAGAUUUUGAGCCUGCGGCCAUCGGAUGUUCUGAUUUAUACUAAAUGUUUUCCUACAGCACCAGUAUUUUUGGGCCAUUUCGAAAAUGUGCCUUGAGGCCAGACAAUGCUUAAUCCGGCACUGGUUAUGAUACUCUUUUUCAGUGGGAAAGAAAUGCACCUGUUUGCGUUUGGAGACAUGAGUAUGAAUGUCGUAUUUACGGAUUAUCAGGAGCAAGUGGUCGUCACAUUUGCCUUUAUUGCUUGGCAACCAAGACACAAGAUGGUGAAGAGAGGACACUAGCC